CAGUGCUGCAGCUAACGCAUUAAGUAUUCCGCCUGGGGGAGUNCGACCGCAAGGUUGAAACUCAAAGGAAUUGACGGGGGCCCGCACAAGCGGUGGAGCAUGUGGUUUAAUUCGAAGCAACGCGAAGAACCUUACCAGGUCUUGACAUCUUCUGCCAGGCUGAGAGAUCAGCUGUUCCCUUCGGGGACAGAAUGACAGGUGGUGCAUGGUUGUCGUCAGCUCGUGUCGUGAGAUGUUGGGUUAAGUCCCGCAACGAGCGCAACCCUUAUGUUCAGUUGCCAGCAUUUAGUUGGGCACUCUGGACAGACUGCCGGUGACAAACCGGAGGAAGGCGGGGAUGACGUCAAAUCAUCAUGCCCCUUAUGACCUGGGCUACACACGUGCUACAAUGGGUGGUACAACGAGCAGCGAGACCGCGAGGUCAAGCGAAUCUCUAAAAACCAUCCUCAGUUCGGAUUGCAGGCUGCAACUCGCCUGCAUGAAGCUGGAAUCGCUAGUAAUCGCGGAUCAGCACGCCGCGGUGAAUACGUUCCCGGGCCUUGUACACACCGCCCGUCACACCAUGAGAGUUUGUAACACCCAAAGCCGGUGGGACAACC
rnacentral:rRNA from 1 species